rnacentral:rRNA from 1 species
GAUGAACGCUGGCGGCGUGCUUAACACAUGCAAGUCGAACGAUGAAGCCCAGCCUGCUGGGCGGAUUAGUGGCGAACGGGUGAGUAACACGUGAGUAACCUGCCCUUGACUCUGGGAUAAGCCCGGGAAACUGGGUCUAAUACCGGAUAGGAGCGCCUGUCGCAUGACGGGUGCUGGAAAGAUUUUUCGGUCAUGGAUGGACUCGCGGCCUAUCAGCUUGUUGGUGAGGUAACGGCUCACCAAGGCGACGACGGGUAGCCGGCCUGAGAGGGUGACCGGCCACACUGGGACUGAGACACGGCCCAGACUCCUACGGGAGGCAGCAGUGGGGAAUAUUGCACAAUGGGCGGAAGCCUGAUGCAGCGACGCCGCGUGAGGGAUGACGGCCUUCGGGUUGUAAACCUCUUUCAGUAGGGAAGAAGCGAAAGUGACGUACCUGCAGAAG